GAACGCAUACUUUAGAGUAUGAGUGGCAGACGGGUGAGUAACGCGUGAGACAUCUACCUUACAGCCCGGUAUAAAUAUCUAUAUAGAGGCGAAAAUCUUUAUAUAUGAGUGAAUCCCGGAUAUUUUGAAUAAAAAAAAAGGCAAAGAACCGUUGUAAGAUGAGCUCGCGUAGGAUUAGGUAGUUGGUAAGGUAAAAGCUUAUCCAAGCCGAUGAUCCUUAGCUGUUCUGAGAGGAUGAUCAGCCACACUGGGACUGAGACACGGCCCAGACGCUUUCGAGCGGCAGCAGUGAGGAAUUUUGGACAAUGGGCGAAAGCCUGAUCCAGCUAUAUCGCAUGAAUGAAGAAGGCUCAAUUGGUUGUAAAAUUCAUAGUUUCAUUGUAGAUUUAUGACAUUGAUGAAAUGAAUAGUCCCCGGCCAACUCCGUGC
rnacentral:rRNA from 1 species